GAAGUUCCUCCCCGCGAGAAUGUGCAUACCGAUGGUGACGAGUCUGGUGGAUGUUCUGACAAGGCACAGAGCUGCAGCGAUGAAGGCACGAGUGGCCCACAGCCAAAUCUACUGCAGGCCCUGCAGGCCCAGCAGAGCGAUGCAGCUAUAAAGAGAGUCGUCGAGCUGAAGGAGGCAAGUCCAACUAGGAUGAGUAACAGGAAGAUGGAGAAGGAGUCCCGAGUAGUGAGGAUGCUACUCCAUGCAUGGGAUCGCCUUGAGGUCAAGGGCGGACUCCUGGUCUUCAGAAAAGGCGGAGACAAGCCGCGCUUCCUGGUGGUCCUCCCUCGACAACUGCGAAGGGCAGCAUUUCGUAGUCUGCACAGAACCAUGGAGACAUCGAGCUACGGCAGAGUGCUGAAAGUGGUCCGAGAGCGAUAUUUCUGGCCAAGUCUCCACAAUGAAACAAUGGGCUAUAUGAGACAGCAUCGAAAGGGAACACGGCAACUGGAGGUCUUCAAUGUCCCACCGCCUCAUGAGUUCCGGGAUGUGGGCCGAGGACCCUGAUGAUGGCUUUAUUCACAUUUUUCUAGUCUAGUUUGUGGAUAUACUGAAGGUGUCGUUAUCAAUUGUAUAUUUUUGUUUAUGUUUAUUUGUUUGUUUGUUUGUUUUAUUCAUGUUUAAUUGAAUCAAUUUUUUUAAUGCCAUUGCUGGGGACAGCAAUAUUUUAAAGAUGGCGUGAGUGUGGCAGGGCCAAAUUGAACUUGUAGUUUUUACUGUAUUGCUUUUAGUGUUUAGGUAUAGGUGUAGCUCCCCUGAAUAAAUCACCCCUUUUUAUUAGAUGUCCCCUACCCUUUCAUAGAAGUGUGUACCCCUGAUUAACUUUUCCCUCUUCCCCAGUAACAUGACCCCUUAGAACAUAGCCCCUUUGAUAAGACCCUGUAAGUCCACAGCCCCUCACUUAGCAGACCAGCGGCAGUAGAGAGAGGACUGUGUAUUAUAUAUCCACUCUUCCCCUUUUCUUGGGAGCGCCUGCCCUGUGUGUUUAUCUGCUCAAGUCACAUCCUGGUUUCAGUCAGAGUGCAUUUAAGGUCCAUUAUUUUGACGCUCUGUGUUGGUUUUUCUUUUCGUCUUCUUUAGUUUUUUUAGGUUGGGUUUAUUUACUUUUCAUUUCCAAUUACUUUUUGUUUCCAAUUUGAUUUUUUUUUCCAAAGUUAUUAAUUUCUGGUUUUGUUUUCCCAAAAGGUUUUUUUUUUGUCACAUUUCAAGGUGUUUUUGUGUGAAUGUAAAACUUGCAGUUAAUCGUGGAUUAAAUUGUUUUUUUGUAAAGUUCCAUCCCAAUUCAGUCUGUCUCUUUUCUUUUUUUUAAAUUUGUCCCAGUUUUCUAUUAAAUUUUUCGCGACUUAUCAAUUUGAA